rnacentral:lncRNA from 1 species
AAAGAGCUGGCAUUGUUUACAUGUCUCCAAUCUAGAACAAGCCUUUGGCUUUGGUUGAUACAUGUGAUACUUUUGGAUCGGGUAGGGAACUGUCGGACUGGUCUGAUGUGUCGAAUCCUAAUGGUUUUUUAUAUAUUUUUUUUGGUGUAGUUGAAAGGUAAAAUCUUAACAAAGAUAUUCCAAUGUUGUCAUACCAUUCCUCAAUUCUUUCAUUUGAUUUAAUUAAUUGAUGUGAAAAAUCUCAGUUCUAAAUCAAAUUCGUUCAUAUUUCGUAUCUUGCUCAUUCCACCAGGGAAAAUACUGCCUUGGCUUUGACCAUGACUUCAUC